ACGGGAGUUAAUUGUGAAAACUGAAACUCAUCAAGUUUGACCAGGACAAUACCACUCUUGAGAAAAUCAAGAGCCACAUAAUUCUUUAAAUCCCCCUGUUUUUCUGUGUCUCAUGAUCAGUUUGUGACUAGCCCUUCCUUUCUAGGAAAGCAAACAAUGUACAACUACUUUUUGUGCCGCUCUCCAUCCAGCACUUCUAGGGACUAUGAGGGUGACAGAAGGAAUAUGUGAUGUGAUCUCCAGCCGUGAAGAUUUGGCUGCAAGAACAGCACUGGCAAAGCAUGAACUAACUCGAAAACAGAUGGGGCAGAUAAUCAUGCCAGCUAAAAGGCUGGCAUGCUCCAUGAUUGGCAGGUUAUGAAGGUCAAGGAUUCUUGGGUAUGGAUUUGACAAUCACCUGGUCCAUAGCAGGCACUUGCAAAAUGUCGGCUGAAUCCAUGGCAAAUGGAAGACAAGGAACCAAGUUUCACUGCUCUGAUCUGGAGAUGUUUCUACAACCACACACUUCUUCCCUGAUGGAAUUUAAUAUCAGAAAUAAUUGGAGGCUGGGGUAGCAGUAGGCCCUUAGUGAAUACUGAGCUGAGCAGGCUAGUCUGGGCAGAGCAGAGCUCUGAGGAGGUAAGAGAGGAAGCAUCUUCCUUCAGUCUCCAGGGGGUUGUUACAAGGUGAGACACCUUAGCAGGAGCUACAGCCGUUAGAUUGCUGGAGAGAGGGUGUUUGGGCAAUAGAGUCAGAAAGACGUCACUAAGCUUCUGGCAUAGGGGAGGGAAAGACAGAGAAGAUUCUAAGAGGUAGGAGAAACUCAGAAAGGAGAUGCAAGGAGGCCCACUUUGACAUUCAGUUGCUGGUCUGCCUUUUCCCCACUCCUUCACCCCGAAGACUAAACCAGGAGGUUUUGAUCUCUCGUCCUUCAUUAGGUCAGUGCAUUUUGCCAUUAGGCACCUAACAGAUCCUGCCCACUCAGAGAUUAAAAGUGAGGUGUGAGAAUGUGGGUGCUGGCUGCAUAGCACAGUAGCUGCAUGGGCUCUGGGGUCUGAACAUUAGGAUCUUUUGGCCUCAGUUUCCUUAUCUGUAAAAUGGAAAUAAUAAUAGUACCCACUUCAUGAAGUUGUUUGGAGAUUUAACGGAUGAUGUUUGUAAAGAGUUUAUCACAGUGUCUGACACAAGAUAAGUACUGAAAAGAGAUUAGCCUUGAUUAUUUUGAGCAGCUGGGGAGGUGGGAAAGUCAUGGAACUAAUAAUUGGUGGUUCCAAAGAUGCCUCUAACUCUCAUUAACUAUUUUAAAGUAAUUGGCCACUUGAUGGCUCUUAAGAAACUUCCUUUCUGUCCAUCUCUGCUCAUCACAGGUGUGAGCCUUAUUGUGACUUGUAUGGACACUUGGGGCAGUGUACAAGGGAAGUCCCUGGCAACGAGUAAGCAUGUGGGGCCAACAAGGGGCUGCUUGGGGAGCCAUGGGGUGGCCACCCACGAAAGCAAGAACCAGCAGAUUGAGGGAAUGCUUAGAAAUUUGUCUGAAUACUCAUUUAGGAAAAAUACCAGACUAACUAAAAUUAGGAGGGAAAGAAGACAUACGGUCAUUUCUUCAGAUGCAGCCUAACAAGAGCAUCAACCCUAAUUUUGAUGGAGGAAUGUCUGAGGCGUUGAAAUUCAAAGGAGGUUGUAUUUCUUCCAGCCAGCCUAUUUAUUGUGGGCAUAAUGUAACAAAGUAAACAAAGUGAUAGAAAAAGCAGGCAACUCUUAAUAAUUCUUAAUAACCCAAAGACUCUUUAUUCAAAAGAAAAAAAUAUGGCAUUUGAUUUCACCAAAAAAAUUUCUGAUUGAAACAUUUACUAUUAGCAUUUUCACUGAUAUAUUUCCCCAAUUAUUAUAAUAACCUUAGUAUUUCUCAUUAGACACUAAACCCAAAAAGACCAGCAGAGAGCAUGUAUAAUAGAGUGUGAAAUGGUAUUUAAGUUAUACCUAAAAAUAAAUUAAAGCAGAGCUAAAAAUUCAUAUGUUCUUCAAAAAUAAAAAAUAUUAUUUCAACUUCUAGAAAUCUAGCAUAAGCCAAUUGGCAGCAAUUAAGCCAAUGAAUUAUGUACAAAGAUUUUUAUUACAGAAUUAUUGUAAUGGCAGAAACUGAAAACAAAAUGCAUGUCCAACAACAGGAGACCUGUUAAAUCUAUAUGAUGGAAUAUUAUGCAGUUAUUAUAAAUGAUACACAUUAAUAAUUUUGAAGAUAUAGGGAAAAUGCUCGAGAUAUAAUAUUAAAUAAGUAAAGAUACAGAACUGCAAAAGAAGUGUGAUGUCAAAUGUACAUAGUAAUAAGACUAGCAGGAAAGUACUAAAAUGUUAACAAUGGUUAUCUUUGGGUGGUAACAUUACGGGUAAUUUUUAUUUUCUUCACUAUUGUAAUAUUUUCUAAUUUUAUAAACUUAUGUGCAUGUAAUACUUUUAUAAUUGUCUUAAAAAACAUAAUAAAAUU